rnacentral:rRNA from 1 species
UACAGAGGGGGCAAGCGUUGUCCGGAAUUACUGGGCGUACAGCGCGCGCAGGCGGUCAUGGACGUGCCGUGUGACAGACGUCGGCUCAACCGACGUAGGCCAGGGUACACGACAUGACUGGAGACAGAGAGAGGGAUGUGGAAUACCCGGUGGAGCGGUGAAAUGCGUAGAGAUCGGGUGGAACACCAGGGGCGAAGGCGGCAUCCUGGCUCUGUUCUGACGCUGAGGCGCGAAAGCUAGGGGAGCAAACGGG